rnacentral:sRNA from 1 species
GCUGGGCGUGGUGGCGGGCGCCUGUAAUCCCAGCUACUUGGGAGGUUGAGGCAGGAGAAUUGCUUGAACCCGGGAGGCGGAGGUUGCAGUGAGCCAAGAUUGAGCCACUGCACUCCAUCCUGGGUGACAGAGCGAGAUUCUGUCUCAA